rnacentral:misc_RNA from 1 species
UGGAGCGUCCAGUGCGGACAAAACGUUAUAAAUCAAAGAGAUAGGAGCCGUCGCCUCUGCCGGGCGGCGGUAAUGAUUCAUCAUAUUAUUUGAAGAAAUCCCGUCCCCAGAGGCUUUAUAACGAGCUCUCCGCUAGAAUGGGGCGUUCGCCAGAGCCAAGCAGGUGUUUUUCGGAGCCUGGCCAGAGACUCGGCGGAACAGGGGAAUUCAUGGUGCGCAAAUAUUUCGGGACCGACGGUAUCCGCGGUCGUGCCAACAG